rnacentral:rRNA from 1 species
UACGUAGGGUGCAAGCGUUGUCCGGAAUUAUUGGGCGUAAAGAGCUCGUAGGCGGUUUGUCGCGUCUGCUGUGAAAACUGGAGGCUCAACCUCCAGCCUGCAGUGGGUACGGGCAGACUAGAGUGCGGUAGGGGAGAUUGGAAUUCCUGGUGUAGCGGUGGAAUGCGCAGAUAUCAGGAGGAACACCGAUGGCGAAGGCAGAUCUCUGGGCCGUAACUGACGCUGAGAAGCGAAAGCAUGGGGAGCAAACAGG